rnacentral:snRNA from 1 species
GUGGUUGCUUUGGCAGCACAUAUACUAAAUUUGGAACGAUACAGAGGAGGUUAGAAUGGCCUCUGUGCAAGGAUGACACAAAUUCAUGAAGCGUUCCAUAUUUUA